rnacentral:pre_miRNA from 1 species
GUCAUACUCCCUUCAUACUAAUCUUUUUGUCUUAGAUUUAUUUAAGUAUGGAUGUAUCUAUUCAUGUUUUAGUAUUAGAUAGAUCCAUAUUUAGAUAAAUCUUAGAUAAGAAUUUUAGAUGAAGGUAGUAUUUA